rnacentral:sRNA from 1 species
UGACAAAAUCAGGUAUGAGUAGGCAGC